UCUCUCUGUGUAUUUAUUUUGCUCAUCCUCCCUAACGCCCUCUCCAUCUCUCUCUCUGUGUCACGCAUCAGAGUUGCGAGCCCAAGGCGGAGUCAGAAGCCUAAGAAAGAGGAGGGACGGGCUUACCAGGGUUUCUUCCUGCUCUCUCCGCCUCCUUCCGGAAUGCGGCCUCUGAUGCCAGCCAUCGGGAUCUUUCCUUCCCCUACGAGAAGGAGACGUGCGAGGAGAAAAAGGUACCAAGAUGAUGGUGAUCCGGGCUACAAUGACCAUGUGCUCCUGCAAUAAUAACAUGCCAGAUUCUCUAGUCCUGUUGAUUUCGGUAGCCGAUAUGCAUUAGACGAGGACAUGUUUGGAGAAUUCGGGAAUGAAGCCAUUGGUCCGCGAGACACCAUAUAUUUUGGGUCACUGUAAUUGACAUCCUCAAAUGUCGAUUUCUAGUUCAGUUAAAUGACGUAUUCUGUUUAGUUCUUCAAUUCUCUGAAUUGUUGUUCCUGUUGAACCAAUGAGCUUCACCACGGUUUCUACACAGUGGCCUCUUGGUGGGAUGAUGCUAAAUGGUUGCAACAAGUAGUUCCUUGAAGAGCCAAGGUAUGAUUGUGUGAUAGUGCUGUGAAUUGUGUUCCCAGUAAGGAUGAUGCAGAGUUCAAAGAACUGGAAACUCUCGGUCAACAUCCGGUUCUUAAAUGUCUUUUUAAGGGUUGGGUAGGGUAUCACGGUAAGGAUGCAGAGUCAUAAUUCAUUUGCAGGACAUACACGUCUGUAUUAUGCUGGACGAGGGCUAUUAUGUUCUGAUCCACCAAUAUUAAUUCACUUUUUCUA